rnacentral:rRNA from 1 species
GCUGAACCAGCAACUUGGAGGAAUGUAUAGCAAUAGCUGAUUGCACCAACAAAUAGUUGAUGCAAUAUUGACUCUGUCAAAUAAAAUUCUAGGUAGAAUUAUGAUAAUGACAUUGUCUGCCUAUAUGUCUUGACCAAAUUACGUGCCAGCAGUCGCGGUAAUACGUAGAAGACUAGUGUUAUUCAUCUUUAAUAGGUUUAAAGGGUACCUAGACGGUAAAUCAAGCCUUCACAGGGACUAAUUUACUAGAGUUACUUACGAGGGGGUAUUAAAGUACUGCAGGUGUAGAGAUGAAAUUCUGUCAUACCUCUUUUCAAAAGAAAAAUUAUGGCACAGGUAUAGGUGAAAGCAUCCCCUUAUGUGAUAACUGACGUUGAAGGACGAAGGCUUUGUGUCGCGAACAGGAUUAGAUACCCCAGUAGUCAAAGCAGAAAAUGAUGAAUGUCAUAGAUUAGAUAAAUAGUUUAUUCUAUAAAUGAAAAUGUAAGCAUUCCACCUCAAGAGUAAUUUGGCAACAUUGGAACUGAAAUCAUUAGACCGUUUCUGAAACCAGUAGUGAAGUAUGUUGUUUAAUUUGAUGAUCCGCAAAAAACCUUACCACAAUUUGAAUAUUUAUAUCUAUCUUUUUUUUUCGUAAAAAAAUAAAAAGGUAAUAUAUUUACAAGCGUUGCACGGCUGUCUUCAGUUAAUGUCGCGAGACUUUGGUUAGUUCCAUUAAAUUAACGUAAACCCUUACUUUAUUUUUAUAUGAAGUAGUUCCCCGCUAUAUUGGAUAUGAUAACAGG